CCCCGCAACAGUUACCCACUUGCUCUGUAUUUUUCAAUGUUUGUAUACUGUCUUCCAUUUGCGAUCUAGCAUAAAGAACUGAGUUCUCACAGGCCAGUGUUUCAGNNNNNNNNNNNGUUUAUAAUUAUCUUAAUUGGGCUGCCCAUCAGGAAAACUUCAACUGAUUAAACCUUUUCCAUGCCCAUUUUACGAAGCUGGCUCAAGAUCCCAGUAAAAUCUGGAGGAGGUGGACGAGAAAAGUUUAUUUCUUCCCCUGUGUGUGGAUGCGUGAACCCUAGAGCCAAAGCAUGUAGACAAGGCCUCUCUAAUCCUGACAGCAAUAAUGAAAGUUGACUGAGACAGCUAGGGGGAAUUCUGGGUCGAAGCCGUGACAAAGCCAAACUUUU
rnacentral:misc_RNA from 1 species